UGCUCUCAGUGCGAAGUUGCUUGUCCUUCUCCCUCUGUUCUUCCUCUUGUACUCUCUUUCUCAAAUAAAUAAAUACAUAAAAUUUUCAAAAAAAUAGAAGAUAAAAGUGAAUUCCUCAGAAAUUGCAUUGGUCCUGCCUCUAUUUACUUAGUCAACUUCUUCCUAUUUUAGCUAUUCCCAUCAACUAAUAGUUCUAUUAGAAAUCUGAGAAGGCAAAUCUUUAACUUUAGUCAGUCAAUAAAGAGAGAAUCCUCAGACAUCAAGGCAAAAAGAAGAGGCCUAAUGUAUUCACCCUUUUUAGGCUUAGUAGCUUUUGAGACUGCCAUGUGCUUCCCUCUACCCAUCCCUGUCACUGACUCAGCAGUCUGAAUCAAGAGGACUUAGGAUCUCUGUGGUUCCUUGAAGCACAGUCCCUAAUAGCUGGUGCCUGAAGGGUAUGUGUAACUUGCUCACAAUGAUUGAAAGGGCAAGUGGCUUCAGUUUGUUCAGGUUGAGCUGCAUUUACAGAGUGUGUACCCAGAAUGAGCUGAACUGUGUGUUGAAUUAGGAAGUAUGGCCGCCCAGGGCAAUCUGGCAAAUGUUGGCCCUCCUAAAAUGAGAGUAACCUUCAUUGUUGACAUUUUUCUGCCAAUGGUCUUGUUUCCUGUCCUUUUGGACAAUGAGUUAGGUCUGAUUUAGCUGUUCUCUGUAUUAGGAAGUCUUAGUUACACCCAAAAGAUGUGAAUAAGCCAAAUAUGUUCUUUAUUAAAUUUAUAUUUUGUCUAUUUAUUCACUCAUUUAUUCAUUCAUUCAAUCAUUUGCUCAUUCAUUUAUAGUUAAGUAACUAUUUUGUUUUGUAGUCAGAUAGUGUAGGUCAUUGCUUAAAGGCUGAAGUACAGAACAGGUGUCAUGCACACAAAAUAUUGUUUGAGAAUUUAAAUCUGGAUAUUUAGGAAGGUAGAAUUCCAGUUAAUCUGAUGAUUAUUGCAAUUGAAUCAGAAGCAACUGACUUUUCUAUUUAUUUUCUUCUUUGUUUUUUUCUGAGUAUGUCAUACUUCAGAAGCCUGACUGUUUCUUCCUUAUCCUCUUCAAAGCCAUCACUAAGAUUUUCUCUUAAAUUGGAUAUGAUGGAGUGCCAAAAGUUCAAGAGCUGAGCCACCUGAGUAUGUAUCCCCUCAUAGCCUC
rnacentral:lncRNA from 1 species